AGAGUUUGAUCCUGGCUCAGGAUGAACGCUGGCGGCGUGCCUAAUACAUGCAAGUCGAGCGAACGGACGAGAAGCUUGCUUCUCUGAUGUUAGCGGCGGACGGGUGAGUAACACGUGGAUAACCUACCUAUAAGACUGGGAUAACUUCGGGAAACCGGAGCUAAUACCGGAUAAUAUUUUGAACCGCAUGGUUCAAAAGUAAAAGACGGUCUUGCUGUCACUUAUAGAUGGAUCCGCGCUGCAUUAGCUAGUUGGUAAGGUAACGGCUUACCAAGGCAACGAUGCAUAGCCGACCUGAGAGGGUGAUCGGCCACACUGGAACUGAGACACGGUCCAGACUCCUACGGGAGGCAGCAGUAGGGAAUCUUCCGCAAUGGGCGAAAGCCUGACGGAGCAACGCCGCGUGAGUGAUGAAGGUCUUCGGAUCGUAAAACUCUGUUAUUAGGGAAGAACAUAUGUGUAAGUAACUGUGCACAUCUUGACGGUACCUAAUCAGAAAGCCACGGCUAACUACGUGCCAGCAGCCGCGGUAAUACGUAGGUGGCAAGCGUUAUCCGGAAUUAUUGGGCGUAAAGCGCGCGUAGGCGGUUUUUUAAGUCUGAUGUGAAAGCCCACGGCUCAACCGUGGAGGGUCAUUGGAAACUGGAAAACUUGAGUGCAGAAGAGGAAAGUGGAAUUCCAUGUGUAGCGGUGAAAUGCGCAGAGAUAUGGAGGAACACCAGUGGCGAAGGCGACUUUCUGGUCUGUAACUGACGCUGAUGUGCGAAAGCGUGGGGAUCAAACAGGAUUAGAUACCCUGGUAGUCCACGCCGUAAACGAUGAGUGCUAAGUGUUAGGGGGUUUCCGCCCCUUAGUGCUGCAGCUAACGCAUUAAGCACUCCGCCUGGGGAGUACGACCGCAAGGUUGAAACUCAAAGGAAUUGACGGGGACCCGCACAAGCGGUGGAGCAUGUGGUUUAAUUCGAAGCAACGCGAAGAACCUUACCAAAUCUUGACAUCCUUUGACAACUCUAGAGAUAGAGCCUUCCUCUUCGGGGGACAAAGUGACAGGUGGUGCAUGGUUGUCGUCAGCUCGUGUCGUGAGAUGUUGGGUUAAGUCCCGCAACGAGCGCAACCCUUAAGCUUAGUUGCCAUCAUUAAGUUGGGCACUCUAAGUUGACUGCCGGUGACAAACCGGAGGAAGGUGGGGAUGACGUCAAAUCAUCAUGCCCCUUAUGAUUUGGGCUACACACGUGCUACAAUGGACAAUACAAAGGGCAGCGAAACCGCGAGGUCAAGCAAAUCCCAUAAAGUUGUUCUCAGUUCGGAUUGUAGUCUGCAACUCGACUACAUGAAGCUGGAAUCGCUAGUAAUCGUAGAUCAGCAUGCUACGGUGAAUACGUUCCCGGGUCUUGUACACACCGCCCGUCACACCACGAGAGUUUGUAACACCCGAAGCCGGUGGAGUAACCUUUUAGGA
rnacentral:rRNA from 1 species